ACUUGGAUAACUGCGGUAAUUCUGGAGCUAAUACAUGCGAACGAUGCCCGACUCACGGAGGGCUGCUUUUAUUAGAUCAAAACCAAACCGCUUCGGCGGUCUCUUUGGUGAUUCUGAAUAACUUUGGGCUGAUCGCACGGUCAUGCACCGGCGACGUAUCCUUCCAAGGUGUGCCCUAUCAACUGUCAACUGUGGCAUAGACGCCCACAGUGGUUUUGACGGGUAACGGGGAAUUAGGGUUCGAUUCCGGAGAGGGAGCCUGAGAAACGGCUACCACUUCUACGGAAGGCAGCGGGCACGCAAAUUACCCACUGGCCGAAGGCCGAGGUAGUGACGAAAAAUAACGAUACCGGACUCAUCCGAGGCCCGGUAAUCGGAAUGAGUACACUUUAAAUCCUUUAACGAGGAACAAUU
rnacentral:rRNA from 1 species